ACCAUAGAGUGGUCUCUCUAGAAAUUUCGCUGUUUAUUCGAAAUUCAACAUCUCUCUCUUGCGACUAAAGAUCGACGACGUAACGUUAUGGUAAAUUUACCAAUAGGGGAAAACUUGUGAUCGUAAAAGUGGCAUUGACGGCAAUCCUACUUAUUGGACGAACUAGUCCAUAUAGGAACUCGACUGGACAAGAUGUAUUAACUCAAAGGUGAACUGACGGAACGUAAUUAUUCGAAACGACUCGAAAGGACGUUUCUCGAAUAUGUGAGAUUUAUGAUACACGCUGUUACAUACAACUUGCGAUAAAAACGAUAUUAAUCAUUUAAGUAGAGAGUCAUCUAGACUGGCAAGACUAUGGAAUAAGUUGGUUAAAUUUUGUAAUAAAGUCGAGAGUUUUUACAGAGAAAUCGCUAAAUGGAUGGAAAAAUCGACGAAGAAAAGAUGGAGCCCUCGUAAACCGAAGAUUUACUACCUCGCGGGCCGAUAAAGUGCCCGUUUGCUCGGAUAAAAUAUAGGUAGUGGCUACUUUGAAAUUUCACGACACGUAGUUACGAGAUCGAAGUGACGUGGAAAAAGGAAGAGGCAGAGAUACAUUGCACGAUUCAUCGAAACUCGAUUGUUCGGUUGCGUAAUUAGACAUAGUAGUUGGUGAACGAUUACAGUGAAAGUCGUCGACUGAUAAAAAAGAAAUUAUUUCAUUCUGUGUGUUUCAACGUGUUUCCCCAUGGAAGUUUGGACACGUUCGAUAUUCAGGGCCUUCCCCUUAUUUGUCUACACCAUUGUUGGACUCGAUGUUUCGAUUCAUGGAACGUAAACAACUAUCGAUUACACGAGAUUACCGUGAGAGCGAGUAAAUCAUCGAGUAGACUGGAAGAUAAAGGAAAAUGUCGAAAUUUCGUGGGACGAGAGAAGAGACUGGCCUUGGAGACCUUCUCGAAGGAGGAUCGUGGAUCCGGGAGAGGUUUAUCCUUUAUUUAAUUUUAAUUUUAAUUUUAAUUCCCGACCUUUCGUUUGCUCAAAUCCCGCCACUUCUCAGCCACGGGUUAUUUAUUUAUUUAUGCCGCGUUUUAUUAUGCCUUCGUCUCGAGCGCGUGCACUCGUCGCCUUUCCCCCCUCCCCCUCCUCCAUUCCAGCCGUUGGAUCGAUUGCAAAUAGUCUCUUAAUAUUUUUCUUCUUCGUUAAAAAAAAGUUCAAGCGGAAAAAAUUUCGUUUCGAUACUUGAACUUGUUGGUUUGAAAAAGAUUUGAUCGAAUCUUUUGUUCGUUCAGUUGCAUUUUGUUUCACACAUUCGGGCGUGGAAUGUGAAUUUUGAACGUUUGAAUUUGUUUAUAACUUGAUUCGACAGAUUCUGAGAAUAAAAUUAAAAUUAAAAUUCUGAGAA